rnacentral:rRNA from 1 species
UACGAAGGGGGGCUAGCGUUGCUCGGAAUCACUGGGCGUAAAGCGCACGUAGGCGGGUCGUUAAGUCAGGGGUGAAAUCCUGGAGCUCAACUCCAGAACUGCCCUUGAUACUGGCGAUCUCGAGUUCGGGAGAGGUGAGUGGAAUUGCGAGUGUAGAGGUGAAAUUCGUAGAUAUUCGCAAGAACACCAGUGGCGAAGGCGGCUCACUGGCCCGAUACUGACGCUGAGGUGCGAAAGCGUGGGGAGCAAACAGG